ACAAAAUGUCAUAAACAACAAAUAAAAUUAAUUAUGAACAAGAUUGUCCUUCGAAAAAGGGAUAGUUGAAACCAAAGCAUCAGACUGAAGACUUUUCUCAUCCAAUUUUGGUAAAAAGAAAAAAAAAGAUAAAUCAUGCAACUGGAAAUUAUUUAUCUUGUUUUAAUUUAUCUUAGAUUAAUUAAUUUAUUGCUUAUUUCCACAGGUUUAUGGAUGAGUAGUAAAAAAAUGACACCACAAACUGAAGUGACGUCUGGACUUUGAGACACAGUUAGGUUUUUUUUAUCUAAACUUUAAUAGUUUUUGUAUUUACCAUAUUUGACAUUUAUAAAAUCUGUUCUAACAGAGGAAUAUUCACAUCAUCGUAACACUUAUAUACAACAUGUAUGCUCUCUGUGCUCCCUCUCUGGGAUGGUCCAUUUCCAUUUCUGUCAGAAACAAGAUGAAAUUUCUCCCACUGAAAUCCAGACAGAAGCUUGCAUCACCGCCAUCUUACACGCUUUUUUCCCUUCAGGCUUCAGCUUAGAAAUAUUUGGUUGACAAAAAAAGAAAAGAAAAAACCAGAUAUUUCAAACUGUGGCCGGUUGGAAUAUGUGGGUUUUACUUAUAAUGUACUAAGCAAAUACAAGCGCGAUGCCAUGGAGAAAAGAUCCAAAAAAUGAAGGACAGGAUCUCUGAUGAAGAGUUUGAGGAAUCCCAGAAAUGAGAGCAGCAUGUUGGGAAGCAGCAAAGGUGUCUUUUUGUCACACACACAGAGUUAUAGAGUAAAAAAAGUACUUUUUUUUUCAGGUAUCUGUACUUUACAUUGAGUAUUUUUUACUUUUACUCACUAUCUGCACUUUCUACUCCUUAUAUUUUCCAUGAUGAAAAAGAUAAAGAGGGAAAAAACUCACCUCUAACACAAAAAGUGCCAGUAAUUCAGCAUACAGUUGGAUCCAACCCAAGCAAAGCAGAAGAAGAAAAACAAAAUGGAGGCUUUAACCUGAGUGAAAACUCAAACAACAGGAACACAUUCAGAGACGCAAGACAUUCCCCAUCUGUAGCCUUGUUUAAAAAAUCCUUCAUCAAUUAAAUCAAUUAAAUAUUAGUGACAAAUUCGCUGUGGUUUGUGCAAAAUAAAUGGUCCUGAUGGAGAUUUGGUUUGAAGAAAAACUAGAACGUAUAUGUAUUUUUUUUAUUUAUUUCUGUGCUAACAGUGCAUGUUGUGAGCAAAAGUAAAAAAAUGUAUGGCUAGUAUUUUGUAUGACUACAACAUUUUUACUAUUUUAGACUUAUUGAAAGUCACUCUUAGUUUUGGUACUUAAGUAAGUUUCAAAACUUCAACCUGUGCUUUUACUAGAGCACAUGUGUCAAACUCAAAGCUGCCUCAACCUUAAUUGAUGUCAGAUUAUAAUCCAUGAUCUAUACAGCAAGUAAUAAAAAGUCACAUUUACCAACAUAAGCACAAAUAUAGAAAUACACCCAAAUUAGCCCCACAAACAAUAAUGAAAUUCUAGAGGGACUGAAAAGAUGUUAAAUAUUAUUAUUUAAUUUUAAGAAUUUGUUGAUAUUUUUACAGUUUGUGAACGGGUUUUAUCAAUACAUUGAUAAAAUGUAUUAUCUUCAUUUGGUCCAAAACGAAAAUGAGUUUGACAUCACUUUACUAGAGUAUUUUUUCAUAUAAUCUCUGUUUAUAACUUUAACUUGAAAGAGAUUCCAGAAACAAAAUCACUGAGGAUUUGUUUUAGUACGAAGAUUGUUUUUUUGUUUUUUUUUAGCAUGCGUAACAGAGCUUUAUCUUAACAUUAUAAAUGUGAAGUUUGUCAGAAUUUAUUUAUUCUUUUAAUCUAUUUUAUUUAGUCAAGAAGUUGUUUCUCCUGAUAUUUAUUGGCGAAUAUAAAAGUUCUGUUGCUCUUGGCAGUUGGUGGUUACCAUAGCAACCAGUAACUGACAGCUCCGCCCCCUUUUUUCCCCGUUGCCAUCAGUAACUGUGGUAUUUAUCUGUGUUUUCUUUACAAGUGUUAGCUUUUAACAUAUAUUUUAGACAAAUGCGAUCAUAUGCAGUGUUUUGUGACUUACUUUGCUAGCUUGUGUAAAUGUUUUUAACUGAUAUUGUUAUUAAUAUUGUGCAUUUUAGCUAUGUUUAAUUUUACAACUACUGCUAACUAAUGCUAACUGCUAACUGUGACUUAUUGUUUUGUAGUUUGUUUAGAGUUAUUUAUUAUAUUUCAUGUAUAGGGGCAGAAGCUUCUGGACUGAUGUUAACCACCAACUUGAUAUCCUCUGUUAGAAUAAAUACAGAGAACCUGAAUGUGCCUGUUGUGAAGUGGACCCACUGGACCUGAGACGAACACAGAUGAUGGGUUAAACAUGAACUCCAAAAAAGUGCAUGUAGGUAAUCAUCCAGGUCUGUAUUCAGCUCAGCACACCAGCUCCUGUGUGACUUCUCAGAGGAUGGCUACAAUUAUUGAUGACAGAGGAGAAGAUUGCUAUGCAUGGCCUGUACAGGAUGCCAUCAGAGACGGUGAUUGGGAACCUUUUGAAAAUGUCAAAGUGACACAUGAUUAUGAAUAUUAAACAUCCAUGUAUGGAGCAUGAUUACUUGAAAGGGGGAGGGAAAUCAACAGUCGGAGGCUGGGAUCUCAUUCCGAGCCGCGUUGAAAUAUGGCAGAACAGCGGCGACUGAAUAUAUCAAAUAGAUUAACAAAAGCGUCAUUUGUUAACGCCGAAGGGCUUAUAUCAUCAUUUUUAAUUAUUUUUAAAAUUUUUUAUUUAUGUUCAGGCUUGUAACUCACAAUAUUUCUAAGAACAGACCCAAACGUUGCCAAAAAUUGUUGCCAUAACAUUUGGAGUGCUUAAUUCAGACAUCAGGGCUUAAUGCUAAAGCGGUGAUAAUAAGGCUGAUGCUCACAAAGUAAAAAUAUUUAUAUGCCAAUUUAUCUAAUGAGGAAGAGAGUCUAGCAAACCGGCACCUUGUAAGGAGUUUAAAAGCUUUCUCUUAUGAUCCUAGUCAAUGGAACAGAUGCUGUAGUUUAAAAUGUAACAAUUCUGACACAAUUUUAAUGAAUAAAAUUUGUGCUCUGGUUCUGACCAGCAUUAUUACUUUGGUCUGAACACAUGUACAGAUCAAAGUAAUAAUGUAAUAAAUACAUUUCAACAACUUUGGGAUAUUAAAAAAUUGUUUUACAGGUUUUAAAGUGAAGAAAUGAAGCCAAUUUUGUGGAACUUGAAAUUCUGUCAAGUCUCUAAAGUUUGUGUCAUUUCUGGUGAGGAUAGGUAUUCUUUUUUCUUGUAUUCAUUGUACAGAGUUUUUUUUUUAAGUGUGGAGGACCAAUCCUGACAUAAUUAAGAAUGAAUGAAAAAUAAAUGACUAAUUAAAAUAACUACAGUACCAAAAAGCAACUUGACAAAUAAGCAUGCCAUAAAAUAUAACAAGA